CGAAAGCCUGACGGAGCAACGCCGCGUGAGGGAUGAAGGCCUCUGGGCUGUAAACCUCUUUUCUCAAGGAAGAAGAUCUGACGGUACUUGAGGAAUAAGCCACGGCUAAUUCCGUGCCAGCAGCCGCGGUAAUACGGGAGUGGCGAGCGUUAUCCGGAAUUAUUGGGCGUAAAGCGUCCGCAGGCGGCCUUUCAAGUCUGCUGUUAAAGCGUGGAGCUUAACUCCAUCAUGGCAGUGGAAACUGUUUGGCUUGAGUGUGGUAGGGGCAGAGGGAAUUCCCGGUGUAGCGGUGAAAUGCGUAGAUAUCGGGAAGAACACCAGUGGCGAAGCGCUCUGCUGGGCCAUAACUGACGCUCAUGGACGAAAGCCAGGGGAGCG
rnacentral:rRNA from 1 species